GCUCUGGGCUCCACCAGUCAUGAUGACUCGGUUGGACCUGACAAUGUUGAGGGCUUUCAAGCAGUCCAGGACUUGACUGUUUUUUUAUUUAAAUUAAAAGAAUACAGUCUUGCCCUGUCAAGGGAGGAGGCUGAUGAAAUAAUUUCCCUGUGGAAUUAUUUGUCAGACUUUGACAAGUGUCGCACAGUGUACCCCCAACGUCACCAGGAUACACUCGCACAUGGCAGAUUCAGGACGUCAAAAAAGGCUGUUGCGCCUGGUGUGGAGAGUACAAAGCGAUGCUUUGCAGGAAGGAGAAGCCCAGCACAGUGGCCAGACUGCAAUCAGGUUUGUGAGGCACUCUUCGUCCAACUUUGCGAGGAGUACCGUGGAUCGAGGCGGAUUGAUGGGUCCGCCACGAGCGCUGGAGUCUGGUCAUGAAAGCGUACCUCCACAUCCGUCAGGUUGUUUUAAACAACGCCACGGUGAUGGAGAAGACCUCACUUCAGCUCCCGGUCGUGAACACGGCAAUACUCUCGAGUUGGUACUGCAAACGGGAAAGAGGACAGGAGAAGAGGAUUCUCGAGCAAGGGAUCUGUCCGCCUCAGACAACAACUGUGAGCCCUGAGAGCCUGCCUCCUGCAGUUCAGAGGAAAUGCAAACCGUGUAUGCCUCAAAGCAUCGUGGCAUAUUCCCACGUGUUUGUUCUGCCACCUAACACUGCAGGGACGGCAACACUGCAGGGACGGAAGAUCAGAAGAGUGAACCCUCCUUCUGAUCUUCUGAGGCCACCAUUCCUCGCAGCCCUCGAGCCUCAAAUCCAGCCCCCCACACCUGUGUUUCCCACACCUCCAUUCAUCCCACCUCUCCUGCCUCAACCCCUCUGGUCUGUGCCUCAACCUCACCUGCCUGCCUUACAGCCUGCAGGAGCAUCUGUGGUACAUGUGCCUAUUACGUAGUUCUUCAAGGAAAGGAUUCAAAUCCGGGAUUGCUUUUAACUCAGUUUAUUGUUAAAGUCUGCAUGUUUCGGCAUGGUAACUGACUAUGGAACGAAAGUCUAGGAGUCGUGUUGAACACGUGUGAGAUAAUAACUCUAGCUACUACGGGCCACGGGCAGAGGCCCGUGACCCUUCGCGGGUGUCGCUGAAAAUCUCUGACGCUCUCCACCUCGCCUGCACAGGUAGAGACCGUCAAGUGGGCGUGGCCUAGUGGGCGUGGCCGGGGUGCCGUAAUGGCUUCGGCUUCUUCAUAUAUCAAAAGGUGCUGCUAUCUGUGGCUGGAGCAGCCUCCAAUAUGGUCUUGCUCCCCUUGUGGCUAUGUAUAGUAUUUACGGCUUAUAUGUUUGGUUCUGCUUCAUUGGGUCUAUGUGUGGGUAGCUUAGAUUCUUAAAAUACGUAACAUGCCAUACCUACCAUAUACCACCACCCACUAUCGAAAGAAAAAAAGAGAGGAGGAGAAGACUGGUUUAAGAAGAGGAAAUAUACAAGGAGUAGUGCCACCAUUCUCUGCCGUCAGUGUCAGAGGGAGCGGGACCCUGCCACUCACAAUGAGUACUUUGGGAACUGGUACUGCCACGCCAUAGCCACCGUGACCCUGGCUGAGUGGAGGGCUGCACUUGAAGCCCAGGGUUAUGGGAGGAAAAAGGGAGCUCCACCUUUUUUUAAUGUUGUUUUUAAGUUUUAAUUUAAGUUUUUAGUUGUAACUUUUUGUGCUAUAACGUUUUACUGUGAGUGUGACACAAUCUUAAUUUAAUUUAAUUUCCCUCUUAAUGCUUUAAUAAAACACAAUAUGACAAAAUACAAAUGUUGUUUAUUCAAAUACAAUAUACCACUGGGGAGCUUGAAGUUAUAAAAAAUCAAAUCAAGUUAUAUACCCUUUAUCAUAAUGCCAGCCU